rnacentral:tRNA from 1 species
GCCCAGGUGGUGGAAUUGGUAGACACGCUACUUUGAGGGGGUAGUGGGGGCAACCCCGUGUGAGUUCGAGUCUCGUCCUGGGCACCC